AGUUCUGUUCUGUUGGGUCUGCUCACUCCCUGGACUAAUUUUGCCUGAGAUCUCUCAAGGAAUCCAGGAAGCCACUUUCAACUAGGAUGUUUCCUUUUAACUGAACCUUCUUAAACACAUUAUCAAAGCAUUAAUACAGAGCCUUACUUCAAAGUCUGUCCCCAGCUCCUGGAGUCAAGAGGAUAUGUGAUGAUUACAGCCUUCAUUCUUUUAAAAAAAAAAAAAGUUUGGAUCCAGUAAAAGCUCCUGCAAACCUAUUUUCAGUAAGAUGGUAAUACUGAGACACGAAGAGGUGAAAUGACUUACCCAAAGACAAACAGCAAGUUAGUAGCAGAGCCUGGAAUAGAUCCAACCUAGACCUUCUGACUCUCAGCCUCCUGCUCUAAUCCUUAUGCAUAUUUCCUUUU